CGGGUUAUAGAAGCCAAAGCCAGUGAGGAGGUUUCCAGGGGCCAGGUCUCCAAAAGCAGCAUAGCCCAUGCAGCCACAGAGCAUGUAAAACAGUGUGGUCACUAUAACACUAAGAAGAGUGGCCUUCUUCAUUGUCUUCUUCUCUGAUGGAGGAGAUUUGAUUGUGUCCUGUUAUUUAAUAAAUCAGAUAGUUCAAUAUAUAAAAGAACCACCUGUUUGAUGAAUUCAGUAUAAAUAAAUAAAAAAAGGAUCUGUACCUGAAUCUCAAUGAGGAUGAUGGAGUAAGAGUAGGCAAAAGCUAUGUUCCCAAGUGCUUGGAAGCUCCUCCAUAUUUUUUGAGUUUGUGUGACAGUGCCAAUGCUAAUCCCAGUGAG
rnacentral:lncRNA from 1 species